GAUAGCAAUGUAUUGAAUAAAGGCAAUUGAUUAUGAUGGAGCUAGUUUUGUUACUAGAAAUAUAAGCAGUAUGCUAGUGAUAGAUGGGGGAGUCUAUUUGUUUGAGAUGAUGGUGCCAAUUGAUGAGUUAAAUGACACAUGGGAAGAUUGAAAUUUAUAGUGCUGCAUUUGAUGGUGACCCAUACUAUAUCCUUGAAGUUGACUUAUUGACGGUGAUUAGAUGACUUUUUAGUUAAUCAGAAACUAGUCCUCAUUCAUUAUUAUGCGAUUGUUGGAGAAUGAUUGAUUCUUUUAAUCUUGUCUUAUAAGGUUAAACACAUGUACAAAGAAUCUAAUAGUAUAGUUGAUUAAUUGGAUGGUGAU
rnacentral:lncRNA from 1 species